rnacentral:rRNA from 1 species
GACGAACGCUGGCGGCGCGCUUAACACAUGCAAGUCGAGGGACCGGCGCACGGGUGAGUAACACGUAUCCAACCUGCCCUUUACUCGGGGAAAGCCUUUCGAAAGAAAGAUUAAUACCCGAUAUAAAGGAUGGGGAUGCGUUCCUUUAGGUUGUUGGUGAGGUAACGGCUCACCAAGCCUUCGAUGGUUAGGGGUUCUGAGAGGAAGGUCCCCCACAUUGGAACUGAGACACAGUCCAAACUCGUACGGGAGGCAGCAGUGAGGAAUAUUGGUCAAUGAGCGCUAGCCUGAACCAGCCAAGUAGCGUGAAGGAUGAAGGCUUAUGAGUCGUAAACUUCUUUUAUAUAAGAAUAUGUAUUAUAUGAAUAAGGAUCGGCUAACUCCGUGCCAGCAGCCGCGGUAAUUC